rnacentral:rRNA from 1 species
AUUGAACGCUGGCGGCAUGCUUUACACAUGCAAGUCGAGCGGCAGCACGGGGGCAACCCUGGUGGCGAGCGGCGAACGGGUGAGUAAUACAUCGGAACAUGCUCCGUCGUGGGGGAUAACACUUCGAAAGAAGUGCUAAUACCGCAUACGUCCUGAGGGGGAAAGCGGGGGAUCGCAAGACCUCGCGCGAUUGGAGUGGCCGAUGUCAGAUUAGCUAGUUGGUGGGGUAAAGACCUACCAAGGCAACGAUCUGUAGCUGGUCUGAGAGGAUGAUCAGCCACACUAGGACUGAGACACGGCCCAGACUCCUACGGGAGGCAGCAGUGGGGAAUUUUGGACAAUGGGGGCAACCCUGAUCCAGCCAUUCCGCGUGAGUGAAGAAGGCCUUCGGGUUGUAAAGCUCUUUCGGCAGGAACGAAACGGUGAGCUCUAACAUAGCUUGCUAAUGACGGUACCUGAAGAAGAAGCACCGGCUAACUACGUG